rnacentral:rRNA from 1 species
UUGGAGGGCAAGUCUGGUGCCAGCAGCCGCGGUAAUUCCAGCUCCAAUAGCGUAUAUUAAAGUUGUUGCAGUUAAAAAGCUCGUAGUUGAAUUUCGGGGUUAGUAGGUUGGUCGUGCCUAUGGUAUGCACUGGCUUUACUGAUUCCUCCUUCUUGAAGAACUGUAAUGUCAUUAAUUUGGUGUUGCAGGGAAACAGGACUGUUACUUUGAAAAAAUUAGAGUGUUUAAAGCAGGCUAACGCUUGAAUACAUUAGCAUGGAAUAAUGAAAUAGGACGUUUGAUCCUAUUUUGUUGGUUUCUAGGAUUGGCGUAAUGAUUAAUAGGGAUAGUUGGGGGCAUUAGUAUUCAAUUGUCAGAGGUGAAAUUCUUGGAUUUAUUGAAGACUAACUACUGCGAAAGCAUUUGCCAAGGAUGUUUUCAUUAAUCAAGAACGAAAGUUAGGGGAUCGAAGACGAUCAGAUACCGUCGUAGUCUUAACCAUAAACUAUGCCGACUAGGGAUCGGAUGAUGUUAAUUUUCUAAUGACUCAUUCGGCGCCUUACGGGAAAC